rnacentral:rRNA from 1 species
AGAGUUUGAUCCUGGCUCAGAUUGAACGCUGGCGGCAGGCUUAACACAUGCAAGUCGAACGGUAACAGGAGGAAGCUUGCUUUCUUGCUGACGAGUGGCGGACGGGUGAGUAAUGCUUGGGAAUCUGGCUUAUGGAGGGGGAUAACUACUGGAAACGGUAGCUAAUACCGCGUAAUAUCGAGAGAUUAAAGGGUGGGACUUUCGGGCCACCUGCCAUAAGAUGAGCCCAAGUGGGAUUAGGUAGUUGGUGGGGUAAAGGCCUACCAAGCCUGCGAUCUCUAGCUGGUCUGAGAGGAUGGCCAGCCACACUGGAACUGAGACACGGUCCAGACUCCUACGGGAGGCAGCAGUGGGGAAUAUUGCACAAUGGGGGGAACCCUGAUGCAGCCAUGCCGCGUGAAUGAAGAAGGCCUUCGGGUUGUAAAGUUCUUUCGGUGAUGAGGAAGGUGUUUUGUUUAAUAGACAAGGCAAUUGACGUUAGUCACAGAAGAAGCACCGGCUAACUCCGUGCCAGCAGCCGCGGUAAUACGGAGGGUGCGAGCGUUAAUCGGAAUAACUGGGCGUAAAGGGCACGCAGGCGGAUUGUUAAGUGAGAUGUGAAAGCCCCGAGCUUAACUUGGGAAUUGCAUUUCAGACUGGCAGUCUAGAGUAUUUUAGGGAGGGGUAGAAUUCCACGUGUAGCGGUGAAAUGCGUAGAGAUGUGGAGGAAUACCGAAGGCGAAGGCAGCCCCUUGGGAAUAUACUGACGCUCAUGUGCGAAAGCGUGGGGAGCAAACAGGAUUAGAUACCCUGGUAGUCCACGCUGUAAACGAUGUUGAUUUGGGGGUUGGGCUUUAAGCUUGGUGCCCGUAGCUAACGUGAUAAAUCAACCGCCUGGGGGAGUACGGCCGCAAGGUUAAAACUUAAAGGAAUUGACGG